rnacentral:rRNA from 1 species
GUCCACGCCCUAAACGAUGUUUACUCGACGUCCGGGCCUUGAGUCCGUGCGUCCAAGCGAAAGCGUUAAGUAAACCACCUGGGGAGUACGUUCGCAAGAAUGAAACUCAAAGGAAUUGACGGGGUCCGCACAAGCGGUGGAGCAUGUGGUUUAAUUCGAUGAUACGCGAGGAACCUUACCUGGGCUAGAAUGCGAGUGCCGCCCGGUGAAAGCCGGGUUUCCUUCGGGACACAAAGCAAGGUGCUGCAUGGCUGUCGU